UGCCCCCACGAGGCCACGACCACACAUGCCCCCACCCCAUCUCCCCUUCCUCCCGACCCUUAGCCCUAGCCCCUGAUCUCGUCGCCGCCAUAAUCAACGCACGGACAGAGUGGCGGCGCCCGCUCGGCUCCGCCGCAAUGACCGCAGCCGGCGCGAGGCAUCGCUCUAGGUGGCGUGGCGGUGACCCAACACCCGCGACCGCAACCACCCGCGGUGUAGCUGCUCAUGGCGACGGUGGUGCACGCUUACUCGCAGCCACCGGUGGCUGCUCCCCAUCUCCAGAUGGUCCCGACACGGUCGCAAGCGGCGCGACGACACCCUUCACUACUGCCCCUCCGAGCGUCCGCGACUGCAGUUACGUUUCUUCUCAUCUUGGCGUCCUCCGGAUCCGCCAUCACCGAUGCCGCGCUUUUCCCAUCCGCGACCUCUCGGUGUUAUCUGAUCCCCGAUGUUGUCUCUGUCCAUGAAACCUCCUCCUCAGCCCCUUGUGCUGCCCUCUCGCACGGCUUCUCCUCACGACAUUCUUCUUUGCCAUAAAGCCCCUCGGUCGAAUCUCCGACUCAUUGCAAAUCGAAAUUGCCGACCCAGCCAAUCUCACCGUGCUCCACUGAUUGUAAGUACUUUGGACCUCUGCUUCCUAUAUACACUUGCAAUAUUUGAGGGUUCAUGAAUGGAAUGGCGAGAUGACUUUUUGGAUGCUUAGAUUCUUGAUGUGUGUUCUAUAGUUUCCUUGACCCAUGGUCUGGAAGCAGGAAGGCAAGGAGCCAAAUUGUGCUUUAUUACUUUAUAAGAGACAGUCUGGUGCAGAAAGACGCCACUGCAGAGGGAAGGUUCUAUUUUCAUGGGCUUGCUUAGCUACUAAGGAGAUGGG
rnacentral:rRNA from 1 species